CCUACGGUGUGCUGCAGUGGGGAAUAUUGGACAAUGGGCGAAAGCCUGAUCCAGCCAUGCCGCGUGUGUGAAGAAGGCCUUCGGGUUGUAAAGCACUUUCAGUGGGGAAGAAAGCCUUGGGGCUAAUACCCUCGAGGAAGGACAUCACCCACAGAAGAAGCACCGGCUAACUCCGUGCCAGCAGCCGCGGUAAUACGGAGGGUGCGAGCGUUAAUCGGAAUUACUGGGCGUAAAGCGCGCGUAGGCGGUCUGAUAAGCCGGUUGUGAAAGCCCCGGGCUCAACCUGGGAACGGCAUCCGGAACUGUCAGGCUAGAGUGCAGGAGAGGAAGGUAGAAUUCCCGGUGUAGCGGUGAAAUGCGUAGAGAUCGGGAGGAAUACCAGUGGCGAAGGCGGCCUUCUGGACUGACACUGACGCUGAGGUGCGAAAGCGUGGGUAGCAAACAGGAUUAGAUACCCCAGUAGUC
rnacentral:rRNA from 1 species